rnacentral:rRNA from 1 species
GUGAUAGCAUAUCAAUAAGCGGAGGAAAAGAAACUAACAAGGAUUCCUUAGUAACUGCGAGUGAACCGGGAAGAGCUCAAAUUUAAAAUCUGGCGGUUCUGCCGUCCGAGUUGUAAUCUGGAGAAGCGUUUUCCGCGUCGGACCGUGUACAAGUCUCUUGGAAUAGAGCGUCAUAGAGGGUGAGAAUCCCGUCCAUGACACGGACUCCCGAUGCUUUGUGAUACGCUCUCAAAGAGUCGAGUUGUUUGGGAAUGCAGCUCAAAAUGGGUGGUAAAUUCCAUCUAAAGCUAAAUAUUGGCGAGAGACCGAUAGCGAACAAGUACCGUGAGGGAAAGAUGAAAAGCACUUUGGAAAGAGAGUUAAACAGUACGUGAAAUUGUUGAAAGGGAAACGCUUGAAGUCAGUCGCGUCGUACGGAGCUCAGCCUUGCUUCUGCUUGGUGUAUUCUCCGUGUCGAUGGGUCAACGUCAAUUUUGACCGGUGGAAAAGGGCUUAGGGAAUGUAGCGUUGUUUCGGCGACGUGUUAUAGCCUUAGGUCGUAUGCAUCGGUCGGGAUUGAGGACCGCAGCACGCCCUUGUGGCCGAGGGUUCGCCCUACGUUCGUGCUUAGGAUGUUGGCAAAAUGGCUUUAAGCGACCCGUCUUGAAACACGGACCAAGGAGUCUAACAUGCCUGCGAGUGUUCGGGUGGAAAACCCUUGCGCGUAAUGAAAGUGAAAGUUGGGAUCCUUCGUAAGGAGGUGCACCGACGCCCGGCCCUGACGUUCUCUGACGGUGCUGCGGUAGAGCAUGUAUGUUGGGACCCGAAAGAUGGUGAACUAUGCCUGAAUAGGGUGAAGCCAGAGGAAACUCUGGUGGAGCUCGUAGCGAUUCUGACGUGCAAAUCGAUCGUCAAUUUGGGUAUAGGGCGAAAGACUAAUCGAACCAUCUAGUAGCUGGUUCCUGCGAGCU